GAUGAACGCUGGCGGCGUGCCUAACACAUGCAAGUCGAACGAAGCACUUUUAGUUGAUCCCCUUCGGGGGUGAUUCUAAAGUGACUUAGUGGCGGACGGGUGAGUAACGCGUGGGUAACCUGCCUUGUACAGGGGGAUAACAGUUAGAAAUGACUGCUAAUACCGCAUAACCCGCUAAGGUCGCAUGACCUAGACGGAAAAGAUUUUAUCGGGUACAAGAUGGACCCGCGUCUGAUUAGCUAGUUGGUGGGUAAAGGCCUACCAAGGCGACGAUCGGUAGCCGAGCUGAGAGGCCUCUACGGCCACAUUGGGA
rnacentral:rRNA from 1 species